rnacentral:sRNA from 1 species
CCAUUUCGUGUUAUGCGUUGUUUCGCAA